UCUAACUCAGACUUGAGCAUCCCUCCCACUACUUGUCCCACAAAUUUCAGCAGCCAAACAGCAGGAAGGAAACCUCUAGGAGCAUUUUCAUUACAAAUGCCACCCAGAUCUCCAGUGUCACAAGGCUCAUUCUUUUUUGGCUGACAAUCUGCCUCUGAAUAAACAGGUAGGUGUGUAAGCCACAAAGUGGCUGCUAUUCAUGAAAUACUUGCACACACCACCAGCCCAAGGUGCCGGCCACCACUGACUCAUGACUCCAUCAUCAAGCAAGGCUAUGGGUAUAUCUGGGGAAAUUUACACAGACCUUAUGAGACCUUGUGAGCUAGGAACAUAAGCAGUGGCAGCAAAAAGCCUGUUCUUUUUGUAUGUAAAAUAAGACAUGGCCUCUGUCUCUAAAGGCAGGAUCCUUGGAGGCAGCAUUAUAAUCUCUCUGCUAAACCAGUAUCCAGCUGAAACCAACCCCCUGAAUAUUAAGAAUGUUUCUCUGAACUUAAAGCCAAGGAGAUAGUCCCCCAAUCCAUUUAUGCCUUAAUCAGUGAGUCAGAAGGGAACCAGAGUUGAUUGCAGAUGCUACCAGUCCACCAGUCAUGCCCAUGACUCAUCCUUUGCACAGAGAACUUUUUGGCUGUAAUACAGUUCAUCUUCCAAAAAUACCUAGUAUUGAUGAGCUGUGCUGUCGUAGCUGGACCAACUGGCUGCUCCCUUGUCCAUUAUUAGAAAACUGAUCCAGAAGUCCUCCAGUUCCAUCUGGGAGUAAUUCAAAGCAAUAGCCAAAGGAAGGAGAGUGAGAUUUCUUUAUAACAAAUGAACUGCCUGUCAUACAAGUUAACUGAUGAUCUUCCAAAGUUAAGGGGAACAAAACAACUAACCAUAAAUAAAAUUAAAAGACAAGCACAGAUUGGGAGAAGUCAGUCAUAAUAAAUUACAACAAAGCAUUAACAUGCAGAAAACAAACAGAAAUCCUACAAAGCAAUGUAAACUCAGAAGAGUUUUACACUGCUGGCAUGGAACAGGAUGGGAAUUCACAGAAGAAAUGUAAAUGACUGAAAUACAUCAGGCCAACAAAAAGUAUAAAACAAAUUUAAAAAAAUAGUAUCACUUUUGCUCAUUAGAUUGACAAAAAUUUAAAUAUUGGUAAUGUCAAAUGUUAGCAAUUUAACAGACACUUAAAUUGGAGCAGAUUGCCUUACCCAAGCAUAAAUUGAAGUGAUUUGAAGUUGGGCUUCUGACUUUUUAAAGAAUCUUUUACUUCCUAUGAUAUAGUAAUUAGACAGUCCCAUCCCACAGCCUGAGUUUUUGUCAGGACCCUAGAUCUUUGCAUGCUAAGUCACUUCAGUUGUGCCUGACUCUUUGUGACUUAAAGAGCCUGGGCUGUAGCCUGCCAGGCUCCUCU
ensembl:lncRNA